UACGUAGGUGGCAAGCGUUGUCCGGAUUUACUGGGCGUAAAGGAUGCGUAGGCGGACAUUUAAGUCAGAUGUGAAAUACCCGAGCUUAACUUGGGUGCUGCAUUUGAAACUGGGUGUCUAGAGUGCAGGAGAGGUAAGUGGAAUUCCUAGUGUAGCGAUGAAAUGCGUAGAGAUUAGGAAGAACACCAGUGGCGAAGGCGACUUACUGGACUGUAACUGACGCUGAGCAUGAAAGCGUGGGGAGCAAACAGG
rnacentral:rRNA from 1 species